rnacentral:rRNA from 1 species
UACAGAGGUCUCAAGCGUUGUUCGGAUUCAUUGGGCGUAAAGGGUGCGUAGGCGGCGCGGUAAGUCGGAUGUGAAAUCUCGGAGCUUAACUUCGAAACUGCAUUCGAUACUGCCGUGCUUGAGGACUGGAGAGGAGACUGGAAUUUACGGUGUAGCGGUGAAAUGCGUAGAUAUCGUAAGGAAGACCAGUGGCGAAGGCGGGUCUCUGGACAGUUCCUGACGCUGAGGCACGAAGGUCGGGGGAGCAAACGGG